rnacentral:rRNA from 1 species
UACGGGGGGGGCAAGCGUUGUUCGGAAUUACUGGGCGUAAAGGGCUCGUAGGCGGCCAACUAAGUCAGACGUGAAAUCCCUCGGCUUAACCGGGGAACUGCGUCUGAUACUGGUUGGCUUGAAUCCGGGAGAGGGAUGUGGAAUUCCAGGUGUGAGCGGUGAAAUGCGUAGAUAUCUGGAGGAACACCGGUGGCGAAGGCGGGUCUCUGGGCAGUAACUGACGCCGAGGAGCGAAAGCGUGGGGAGCGAACAGG